AGAGCGGGCAAUUACACCAACGCCAAUGACAUCUUACUAUGCAAUACUUGGUUGCAAGUGUCGAGGGAUCCAUCCGUUGGAGGUGAUCAAAGUAAAGAUGCUUAUUGGGGGCGGAUGAAAGAACACUUUUAUGUUCGCAACGUGAGUGGAAUUGACCGCUCUGAGAGAUCACUUCGGUCCUGGUGGUCGACAAUCAACUCGGAUUGUCAAAGAUGGGCGGCCUGUCAAAAGGCGGUUGACAAGUUGAACCCAAGUGGCACAAAUGAGGACGAUAGAGUAAGUGAAGAGGAGAGGGAAACCAAGAAGGGGAAGAUCAAGAAAGGAAGGAUCUUUACCUUGCCUCAUUGCUAUGAAGUGUUGAAGGAUGAUGAGAAAUGGAAGAAGCGUGAAGAUUUGGAUGAUUUGCAUUUGAGCAACAAACGCAAGCGAACAAUUGAGUUGAAUGAUGAUGAGGAGGAGGAGGAGGAGGAUGCAUCAAGUGAUGACGGCAAGAGAAGCCCCACACCCAACUCGGUUUCAUACUCGAAGCCAAAACGACUGGAUGGGUGCAAGAAAGACAAAACAGAAAAGCAGAAGAGGAAAGGAGAUGAUGAAAUAAAAAAUGCUAUGGAAGCAAUUGUCAAUGCAAGAAGAGAAGCCAACGAGGUGAGGAAAAUGGCAAGAAACCAAGAUGUCGCGAGGAAGGUGGCUUUGGAGGAGAGGAAGGUGAGCAAUGAGGAGCGAACUAGAUUGUUGGAAUGGGAGAAGCACUUGUUCUUCUUGGACACAUCUAACCUCAAUGAGGCGCAAAAGGAGUUUGUCAAUCUUUCCCGCGAAGAAGUGUUG
rnacentral:rRNA from 1 species